GAAGAGCUCACUCCCCUUAGUUUUUUCCAGGGAGUGAAACCAGGGUCAAUGGGAGGAAAUAACACAAGCAAUAAUGCCACGGAGGAUAGUGUUUAUCUGUUACUCUUGUGAGCCCACCACCAUCGUGGGGCCUACCUGCAUGUGUCCCCUUCCAGACUCAUGGAUAAUCACCGUGUCACUCAGUCUUGGCCCUAACUUCUCCUGCACAGCAAAGACUCCACAUCCAGAUGGGAGACAACUGGUCCACACGUCAUUUCCGAGAGAAGAUUUCCAUCUACAGGCUUAAAAGGUCCUUAAAAGCAGGACCUUUCAGCCAGAGUCUCUCCACCCUGGAGCUAUUUCUUCAUCUCUGUUCAGUAAACUCUCCCCAUCUGUCAUGCACUUUGUACCUAAGUGAGAACAGACCAAAGCUCUGAAGCACGGGCACGCUAUGCCCGCCCUUCAUUAGCCCCCCCCCCCCCCCACCUAUUUAGCAUGUUCUAGUUAGUGAAUUUCCUAUAGACAGACACACAUGAGGAAUGAGCAGGUUUGCUAUCUGGCUGCCAAGUGACACAGAAAUGCAGGCCAGAGCCAGAGCCCAAAUGCCAACUACCGGCUGUCUCCUCCUUGACCCCAGGCAACAUCCUGAAUUCCUCCCCUAUUCUUGGGAUUCUAUGGAUUAAUAAAAACAUUCAUUCACAGCA
rnacentral:lncRNA from 1 species